CUGUGAUGACCUUUCCUGUGAUGGCAAAAGGUUGCCACCUGCUAUAAUGACCGUUCCCUUGAAUGUCGGAUUCUUUCCAAUAAUUAGAAGGCGUGCUUCUCUUCCUAACUAAUAACGAGCAAACUUCGGAUGGCCUGUCUACAGGCAACCAGUUGCUCGCAUUGAUUCUGUGAUGUAUAUUUUGGGCUCGCAUUGAUUAGAGGGCUUCAGAGUAAAUCUAAUGAUGCUCAAUUCAUAGGAAAGUCUGAGCAAAAUAUAUUUUUGUCUUGACACUUUGGUAGAUGAUACGAAUAAUACUAAUUAAUUGGUAGAUGCUAUCCCAAACAUGCUAUUUAUUUGACUAUUGUGAUAUUUUCGAAUUUAUGCAUUUACAUAUUCCUCAGUUUCCAUGUUACUUAUUUCUCAACUCGUCCCUUUAGUUCUAUUGCUAUUCCUUACAAUCUCUAAAUGUAAGACGGUGAUGAUAAGAGCCACUCUCCUAUGAGGUCUCCU
rnacentral:lncRNA from 1 species